AGGAUUACUCGAUUUAAUAAGUAUGUUCGGUUUUCGUUUGCCGCCGGUCAGUUAAACGAUCAAUACGGGCCCUGUUGAGCACUGUGACUCAUUCAGACCGCCGAGAUCUACGUCACACGGUGAAAACGUCACAGUGCUUGACAUUUGUAACAAAGAGUAGCUUUAAAAUACUACCACAGAUAGCCCUUUCAAGAUACUUGUUAUUCAGAGCGCAAAGCAGAUGAACUAUUUCUAAAACCGAGGAAACGGCCCUAAAUCAGCCCGAAAGACUCGCUCCAUGUAAAGGAAGAACCACUCAAGCAAGGAAUGGAAACAAGAUUGGACCAAGACAAGGAAUUACUCAGUCUGGCAAAUUUUUUUGCGAAGAUACCUGGAAUAAAACAGCUAGGAGAGCAAAGAGGAAGCGGCUAAACGGUCGAAGGUUUCUCCCCACUUCGUGAGUGCUCUAGUGGCUUCCUAAGUCUAUGUAAUUUCGAAGGCUUGCUUCUCUGCGAUGACUGAGGAUCGACAUGGUGAACUAGGGACACGGCAAGUGUGAGAAAGGUUAAACACUCAUCGCUGGACCCUACCUUUAUAAAACGAGUGUAUUUCGAUGAAGCCUCGAUGGAUUGAAUCAAGCCCCUUGCAGUGGACAUCUCUCAAACAAAGAAGUUUGAAAUGUGCAUGAUGAGAGGCCUGUCUGAGUUUACAACACAACAUCCAGAGAAAACAAGAACCACAAAGUGGAAAAUGAUGCAAGAAGUGUUAGGAAUUUCUUGCACUACUGUCAUUAAGAACUGCGCAGUCUAGAAGGUCUGCCUGCGUAGGAAGAUUCGUCUUUUUAUCUG
rnacentral:misc_RNA from 1 species